rnacentral:rRNA from 1 species
GAGUAUGUAGUUGUAGACCCGAAACCAGGUGAUCUACCCAUGUCCAGGGUGAAGGUAAGGUAACACUUACUGGAGGCCCGAACCCACGCACGUUGAAAAGUGCGGGGAUGAGGUGUGGGUAGCGGAGAAAUUCCAAUCGAACCUGGAGAUAGCUGGUUCUCUCCGAAAUAGCUUUAGGGCUAGCCUCAAGAUAGAGAAUCCUGGAGGUAGAGCACUGUUUGGACUAGGGGCCCAUCCCGGGUUACCGAAUUCAGACAAACUCCGAAUGCCAGUGAUUUAUGCUUGGGAGUCAGACUGCGAGUGAUAAGAUCCGUAGUCAAGAGGGAAACAGCCCAGACCACCAGCUAAGGUCCCCAAAUAUCCGUUAAGUGGAAAAGGAUGUGGCGUUGCUUAGACAACCAG